CCUACGGGGGGCAGCAGUGAGGAAUAUUGGUCAAUGGCCGGAAGGCUGAACCAGCCAAGCCGCGUGAGGGAGGAAGGCGCAGAGCGUCGCAGACCUCUUUUGCCGGGGGACAAAAGGCCGGACUCGUCCGGUCCUGAGGGUACCCGGAGAAAAAGCAUCGGCAAACUCCGUGCCAGCAGCCGCGGUAAUACGGAGGAUGCGAGCGUUAUCCGGAUUCAUUGGGUUUAAAGGGUGCGCAGGGGGGCCUUUAAGCCGGCGGUGAAAUCGCGGGGGUCAACCCCGCCGAGCCGUCGGAACGGGGGGCGUUGAGUGCGGCGGAGGCAUGCGGAAUGCGCGGUGUAGCGGGGAAAUGCAUAGAUA
rnacentral:rRNA from 1 species